rnacentral:misc_RNA from 1 species
UUUCCGUAGGUGAACCUGCGGAAGGAUCAUUAAAGAACGCCCCGUUUUUUGAAAUGGGUAAUUCUAAACCGUGUAUACAUACCUUUGUUGCUUUGGCAGGCCGCCCCUCAGGGCGUCGGCUCCGGCUGACUGCGCCUGCCAGAGGACCCAAACUCUUUCGUUUAGUGAUGUCUGAGUACCAUAUAAUAGUUAAAACUUUCAACAACGGAUCUCUUGGUUCUG